AACCCGACCCAAAUCUACAUUAGUACGCACGCCAUCUCCAGCUCCAGCCAUUGUAUUGUACAUUUCUGUUCGUCUCUGGCAUCUGAGAAGGAAAAAUGCAGACCGUUGCUAAGCGAUUAAGCCAACAAUCUCUAAAGCCCUCACCUUCGAUUUCAUCUUUCCAGUCCAUUUACCCUCCAUCUGAUUACUAUUAUGGAGUUGAUCAUCCUAGGUACGGAUCCACUUUGGUCCCCGGCAAGGGCGUGGGCCACCUUAUUCGCAAGGGCACUGGUGGAAGAUCCUCUGUUAGUGGCAUUGUAGCUACAGUGUUUGGUGCUACUGGAUUCCUCGGUCGCUAUGUUGUGCAACAACUUGCCAAAAUGGGAUCUCAAGUGUUGGUUCCUUUUCGGGGUUCUGAGGAUGAUCCUCGUCAUCUUAAGUUGAUGGGAGAUUUGGGACAGAUAGUACCAAUGAAAUUCAACCCAAGGGAUGAAAACACUAUCAAGGCUGUAAUGGCAAAGGCAAAUGUUGUAAUCAAUCUUAUAGGCAGAGAGUACGAGACCAGAAACUAUAGCUUUGAGGAAGUGAACCAUUUUUUGGCAGAACGAUUUGCCAUGAUUGCAAAAGAACAUGGUGGUAUCAUGAGAUUUAUUCAAAUUUCUUGCUUGGGGGCGUCUGUAUCAUCUCCCUCAAGAUAUCUUAGUGCUAAAGCUGCCGCAGAGGAAUCUGUUUUGAGAGAAUUACCUGAGGCCACAAUUAUGAGACCUGCUGCAAUGAUUGGAACAGAGGAUAGGAUAUUGAAUAGGUGGGCACAGUUUGCUAAAAAAUAUAGCUUUCUUCCACUUUUUGGGGAUGGAUCUACCAGAAUCCAACCUGUAUAUGUUUUAGAUGUUGCUGCUGCAAUUGUUGCAGCCUUAAAAGAUGAUGGCACCAGCAUGGGAAAAGUCUAUGAGCUGGGUGGACCAGACAUCUUGACUCAACAUGAAUUGGCAGAAAUCAUGUAUGACAUGAUCCGUGAAUGGCCUCGCUAUGUGAAAGUUCCUUUCCCUGUUGCAAAGGCAAUUGCAAUGCCUCGAGAAAUAUUACUUAAGAAAGCUCCUUUUCCUUUACCAAAUCCCGAUAUCUUCAAUCUCGACCAAAUCAUUGCCCUUUCUUCAGAUACAAUUGUGUCAGAAAAUGCUUUAACUUUCAAGGAUCUGGGGAUUGUGCCACAUGAGUUGAAGGGUUACCCAAUUGAAUAUCUUAUCUCAUAUCGAAAGGGCGGUCCACAAUUCGGUUCUACAGUCAGUGAAAAAGUUUCGCCUGAUUCUUAUCCAUGAUAUUCAGAGCUUUUUAUUUCAAAAAUGUUUUUUUUGGGGUCAAAAAGCGAUCCAGUUGGAACUUGGAAAUGAUAUGUGGUACUUUUAUGUCUUUUCUACCACAAAAUGACAUGUUUCUGGAGAGGAGCAUAUUUCCUUUGAGACUAUGCAAUAAUAAUGGUGUGAAAGGCUCUUCAAUAAUGGGAUAUAUAUUUACCAAUAAAUUCUAGCCAUUCGUUUUCUUUAGAAAUUUUCCAGAUGAUUUAUUUUGGCUGACUUUGGAGAUCUGCACUUUCCUUCAUGUAAAGGAAUUGUUUUUGCAUUUGUUCCCGUGUCAUCUUUUCAGUAUCACUUAUGCUUUUGGUAUCCUCAAUAUUGUUGUUUCAAGUGUAAAACUUAAUUGAGCUGUUGAUUCACAAAUCCUCUCGCCAUUACUUAUUUGGCUGCUUGGAUUAUAUAUAUUCGUAUCUUGGUAAGAAAGUCCACUUCAUCAA